GGUCGCUUAGCUCAGUUGGUUAGAGCGUGGUGCUAAUAACGCCAAGGUCGCGAGUUCAACCCUCGUAGUGACCA
rnacentral:tRNA from 2 species